GAGUUUGAUCGUGGCUCAGGAUGAACGCUAGCUACAGGCUUAACACAUGCAAGUCGAGGGGCAUCAGGAAGGAAGCUUGCUUUCUUCGCUGGCGACCGGCGCACGGGUGAGUAACACGUAUCCAACCUGCCGAUGACUCGGGGAUAGCCUUUCGAAAGAAAGAUUAAUACCCGAUGGCAUAGUUCUUCCGCAUGGUAGGACUAUUAAAGAAUUUCGGUCAUCGAUGGGGAUGCGUUCCAUUAGCUUGUUGGCGGGGUAACGGCCCACCAAGGCAUCGAUGGAUAGGGGUUCUGAGAGGAAGGUCCCCCACAUUGGAACUGAGACACGGUCCAAACUCCUACGGGAGGCAGCAGUGAGGAAUAUUGGUCAAUGGGCGCUAGCCUGAACCAGCCAAGUAGCGUGAAGGAUGACUGCCCUAUGGGUUGUAAACUUCUUUUAUAUGGGAAUAAAGUGCAGUAUGUAUACUGCUUUGCAUGUACCUUAUGAAUAAGGAUCGGCUAACUCCGUGCCAGCACG
rnacentral:rRNA from 1 species